rnacentral:rRNA from 1 species
AUGAAGGACGUUACUAACGACGAUAUGCUUUGGGGAGCUGUAAGUAAGCUUUGAUCCAGAGAUUUCCGAAUGGGGAAACCCAGCAUGAGUUAUGUCAUGUUAUCGAUAUGUGAAUACAUAGCAUAUCAGAAGGCACACCCGGAGAACUGAAACAUCUUAGUACCCGGAGGAAGAGAAAGAAAAUUCGAUUCCCUUAGUAGCGGCGAGCGAAACGGGAAGAGCCCAAACCAACAAGCUUGCUUGUUGGGGUUGUAGGACACUCUAUACGGAGUUACAAAGGACGACAUUAGACGAAUCAUCUGGAAAGAUGAAUCAAAGAAGGUAAUAAUCCUGUAGUCGAAAAUGUUGUCUCUCUUGAGUGGAUCCUGAGUACGACGGAGCACGUGAAAUUCCGUCGGAAUCUGGGAGGACCAUCUCCUAAGGCUAAAUACUCUCUAGUGACCGAUAGUGAACCAGUACCGUGAGGGAAAGGUGAAAAGCACCCCGGAAGGGGAGUGAAAUAGAACCUGAAACCGUGUGCUUACAAGUAGUCAGAGCCCGUUAAUGGGUGAUGGCGUGCCUUUUGUAGAAUGAACCGGCGAGUUACGAUUUGAUGCAAGGUUAAGCAGUAAAUGUGGAGCCGUAGCGAAAGCGAGUCUGAAUAGGGCGUUUAGUAUUUGGUCGUAGACCCGAAACCAGGUGAUCUACCCUUGGUCAGGUUGAAGUUCAGGUAACACUGAAUGGAGGACCGAACCGACUUACGUUGAAAAGUGAGCGGAUGAACUGAGGGUAGCGGAGAAAUUCCAAUCGAACCUGGAGAUAGCUGGUUCUCUCCGAAAUAGCUUUAGGGCUAGCCUCAAGUGAUGAUUAUUGGAGGUAGAGCACUGUUUGGACGAGGGGCCCCUCUCGGGUUACCGAAUUCAGACAAACUCCGAAUGCCAAUUAAUUUAACUUGGGAGUCAGAACAUGGGUGAUAAGGUCCGUGUUCGAAAGGGAAACAGCCCAGACCACCAGCUAAGGUCCCAAAAUAUAUGUUAAGUGGAAAAGGAUGUGGCGUUGCCCAGACAACUAGGAUGUUGGCUUAGAAGCAGCCAUCAUUUAAAGAGUGCGUAAUAGCUCACUAGUCGAGUGACACUGCGCCGAAAAUGUACCGGGGCUAAACAUAUUACCGAAGCUGUGGAUUGUCCUUUGGACAAUGGUAGGAGAGCGUUCUAAGGGCGUUGAAGCAUGAUCGUAAGGACAUGUGGAGCGCUUAGAAGUGAGAAUGCCGGUGUGAGUAGCGAAAGACGGGUGAGAAUCCCGUCCACCGAUUGACUAAGGUUUCCAGAGGAAGGCUCGUCCGCUCUGGGUUAGUCGGGUCCUAAGCUGAGGCCGACAGGCGUAGGCGAUGGAUAACAGGUUGAUAUUCCUGUACCACCUAUAAUCGUUUUAAUCGAUGGGGGGACGCAGUAGA